AAGUCGUAACAAGGUAACCGUAGGUGAACCUGCGGUUGGAUCAUUACUGAAUUUUAAAAAAAAGUCGAAGUAUGUGCUUUGUCACUAUUUCCCUUUUUUUUAUUUCACCCCCCUUGUGAACUGUUUUUCGUUCUUUGGCAGCCCAACCAACUUGAUUGAGCAAACAAAAAGAAGCGUGUAGAGAUUUUUCUCUUCACGUUGCUUUUAAUUUUCUCUUCAUUUCAUUUGGGCCGUCAACCUUUGAAUUUAAACCCGUGUUAUAUGUAAAAUUAUAUGUCUCCAUUAGAUUCCAACUUUGAGAAUCUUGUUUUUAUAAAACGAAAAACAACUUUUGACAACGGAUCUCUUGGCUCUC
rnacentral:misc_RNA from 1 species